GUAGAUUGACAGGCUAGUGAUUUAGCUGUUCGUUACUCAUCUUGUUGGCUGAUAGUAGAUUGACAGGCUAGUGAUUUAGCUGUUCGUUACUCAUCUUGUUGGCUGAUAGUAGAUUGACAGGCUAGUGAUUUAGCUGUUCGUUACUCAUCUUGUUGGCAACAGUGUGUACCUGUAGAGAGGUCAUACAGGGUAGUAACAGUGUGUACCUGUAGAGAGGUCAUACAGGGUGGUAACAGUGUGUACCUGUAGAGAGGUUAUACAGGGUGGUAACAGUGUGUGUACCUGUAGAGAGGUUAUACAGGGUGGUAACAGUGUGUACCUGUAGAGAGGUCAUACAGGGUGGUAACAGUGUGUACCUGUAGAGAGGUUAUACAGGGUGGUAACAGUGUGUACCUGUAGAGAGGUUAUACAGGGUGGUAACAGUGUGUGUACCUGUAGAGAGGUUAUACAGGGUGGUAACAGUGUGUACCUGUAGAGAGGUCAUACAGGGUGGUAACAGUGUGUACCUGUAGAGAGGUUAUACAGGGUGGUAACAGUGUGUGUACCUGUAGAGAGGUCAUACAGGGUGGUAACAGUGUGUACCUGUAGAGAGGUCAUACAGGGUGGUAACAGUGUGUACCUGUAGAGAGGUCAUACAGGGUGGUAACAGUGUGUACCUGUAGAGAGGUCAUACAGGGUGGUAACAGUGUGUACCUGUAGAGAGGUCAUACAGGGUGGUAACAGUGUGUACCUGUAGAGAGGUCAUACAGGGUGGUAACAGUGUGUACCUGUAGAGAGGUCAUACAGGGUGGUAACAGUGUGUACCUGUAGAGAGGUCAUACAGGGUGGUAACAGUGUGUACCUGUAGAGAGGUCAUACAGGGUGGUAACAGUGUGUGUACCUGUAGAGAGGUCAUACAGGGUGGUAACAGUGUGUACCUGUAGAGAGGUCAUACAGGGUGGUAACAGUGUGUACCUGUAGAGAGGUCAUACAGGGUGGUAACAGUGUGUACCUGUAGAGAGGUCAUACAGGGUGGUAACAGUGUGUACCUGUAGAGAGGUCAUACAGGGUGGUAACAGUGUGUACCUGUAGAGAGGUCAUACAGGGUGGUAACAGUGUGUACCUGUAGAGAGGUCAUACAGGGUGGUAACAGUGUGUGUACCUGUAGAGAGGUCAUACAGGGUGG